rnacentral:rRNA from 1 species
GACGAACGCUGGCGGCGUGCUUAACACAUGCAAGUCGAACGGAAAGGCCCUGCUUUUGUGGGGUGCUCGAGUGGCGAACGGGUGAGUAACACGUGAGUAACCUGCCCUUGACUUUGGGAUAACUUCAGGAAACUGGGGCUAAUACCGGAUAGGAGCUCCUGCUGCAUGGUGGGGGUUGGAAAGUUUCGGCGGUUGGGGAUGGACUCGCGGCUUAUCAGCUUGUUGGUGGGGUAGUGGCUUACCAAGGCUUUGACGGGUAGCCGGCCUGAGAGGGUGACCGGGCAGCUGGGGGCAAGAGGACGGCGGGGGCGCAGGCGGGGGGCAGCAGGGGGGAAUAGGGGAUGACGGGCAGCAGGUGGAUACAGGAACGGGGCGGGAGGGAUGACGGGGUGCGGGUAGUAAAACGAUUUCGACGGAUAAGAAGCGUGAGUGAAGGGAGUGGGUAAAGAAGCAGCGGAUAAGUACGU